AACCCAUGGUGAGGGCAUUCCCGUCGGUACUCCUUGAAACGCUCCAAAGCAUCAUAGAAAGGCUCGUCGGUCUUUUGCUUAAAAUUUGAGAUUUUAUUCCUCAGGGC
rfam:Brassica oleracea var. oleracea cultivar TO1000 chromosome C3, whole genome shotgun sequence